UGCGCGUACGGAGGUGAAGGAGAGGAGAGCGAAGAGAAGUCGUGGGUGUGCAGUGCACGCGGGGUGUGUGUCAUUCCCACGCGUGCGGAGGAUUCGAGUGCCCGGACUGCCGCCCGGGUGGGAGCGUCGCUGGGGGACCAGGCUCCCGCGAGUCCCAGCGCGAGGAAAAGCCCAAAGAUAAGAUUGUAAGAAACGUUGAAGCCAUGUUUCGAAGACCUGUAUUACAGGUUUUCCAUCAGUUUGUGAGACAUGAGUCCGAAGUAGCUGCCAGUUUGGUUCUUGAAAGAUCACUGAAUCGUGUGCAGUUGCUUGGGCGAGUGGGUCAGGACCCUGUCAUGAGGCAGGUGGAAGGAAAAAAUCCAGUCACAAUAUUUUCUCUAGCAACAAAUGAGAUGUGGCGAUCAGGGGAGAGUGAAGUAUACCAAAUGGGUGAUGUCAGCCACAAGACAACAUGGCACAGGAUAUCGGUGUUCCGACCAGGCCUCAGAGAUGUGGCAUAUCAGUAUGUGAAAAAGGGGGCUCGAAUAUAUGUGGAAGGGAAAGUGGACUAUGGCGAAUACGUGGAUAAAAAUAAUGUGAGGCGGCAAGCAACAACAAUCAUAGCUGAUAACAUUGUAUUUCUGAGUGACCAGACAAGAGAGAAGGCAUAGAGCGGAUGGCCCUUCUUUGACUGUUCUUUGGUACCAUCUCCUUUCCAAAUCAUGUAUAGUCUAUAGUUUCCAAAGAUGAAG